GAUGAACGCUGGCGGCGUGCCUAAUACAUGCAAGUCGAGCGAACAGAUAAGGAGCUUGCUCCUUUGACGUUAGCGGCGGACGGGUGAGUAACACGUGGGUAACCUACCUAUAAGACUGGAAUAACUACGGGAAACCGGGGCUAAUGCCGGAUAACAUUUAGAACCGCAUGGUUCUAAAGUGAAAGAUGGUUGUGCUAUCACUUAUAGAUGGACCCGCGCCGUAUUAGCUAGUUGGUAAGGUAACGGCUUACCAAGGCAACGAUACGUAGCCGACCCGAGAGGGUGGUCGGCCACCCUGGCACUGAGACUGAGUCCAGACUCCUACGGGAGGCAGCAGUAGAGACUCUUCCGCGAUGGGCGAGUGCCUGACGGAGCAACGCCGCGUGAGUGAUGAAGGUCUUCGGAUCGUAGAGCUCUGUUAUUAGGAGAGAACAAAUGUGUAAGUAACUGUGCACGUAUUGACGGUACCUAAUCAGAAAGCCACGGCUAACUACGUG
rnacentral:rRNA from 1 species